rnacentral:rRNA from 1 species
AAAUUGAAGAGUUUGAUCAUGGCUCAGAUUGAACGCUGGCGGCAGGCCUAACACAUGCAAGUCGAACGGUAACAGGAAACAGCUUGCUGUUUCGCUGAUGAGUGGCGGACGGGUGAGUAAUGUCUGGGAAACUGCCUGAUGGAGGGGGAUAACUACUGGAAACGGUAGCUAAUACCGCAUAAUGUCGCAAGACUAAAGAGGGGGACCUUCGGGCCUCUUGCCAUCGGAUGUGCCCAGAUGGGAUUAGCUAGUAGGUGGGGUAACGGCUCACCUAG